CAUUUAGUAUGAUCAGGACUUUAUCCUCAAACUUUAAAAUAAACAUUUGUCGUAAUAAAACACGAGUCAGAAAUGUAACACACUUCCAUCUCAGGAUACAAAAACAGUCGCUAAGCAUUCUGGGAAAUGGCUCUCACAGCUGUCUUUCUCUUCUUUCAGUUUUUUUUAGUGUUAACCUAAAAACCCUAGUUUAUUCAACUCUCGGAGGUUUGACCAAAUGAGUAAAAAGUUAACACAAUUUACUACUAUAAGUUUAUCUUUCAGAAACUCACAUUUUGGUACAAAACCUAAAACUCUAAAUUUAUUUGACUUAAAGAGCAGAAGACAGUAAAAGCUGCUCAAAUGUUUUACACUGUCAGACUGUCGCAUAUCGAUUAUUAGAAUAUACUAUCGAUUAAUACAGAAAAUCCACUGAGGUAAAGAUCAACCAUCAGUUCAUUAUAGACGUCCAAAUGAAUAUCAAUAAGGAUCUUUGAUACUUUAUAUAACUUAAAAAAUCAUAACUUCUGUAAUUGCUUAUAAACUUUGAUUUUUUUAGCAUGACAGUUUGAUUAAAUUAUCAUGUUUAAUCAAACUGCCAUUAACAAGAAAAUAAUGUAACUACGAAGAGCUACAUGAGUGAACAGCCUUUUGAAAAGGAGACAUUGUUCAAAUGAAGAUGCAUGCCCUUUAAAAUAAUCUGUUUCCGACUCCAGCAGAAGUCUGAGUCACCAGGCGAAGCUCUGUGUUCGUCUCCAGUGCUUAUAUAAGCAUUAGGUUGUUUUGCAGUGUAAAUUCAAAAGACAGAUAUUAUGUUAACUCAGCAAAAAACAACUUUAAAAGAUGAAAGAAACGAGAGAAGUAAAAAGUUCACCUGAAUAUUUAUGGCUUCACAAUCUGCUGCUUCAGUCAAUUCAAAUCAACACAUCAAUAUUUUUUCAGUUAUUUUUCUACAUAUCUUACCUUUCAUUUCUUUUAUUUGCAGUAUGACAUUUCUUUUGUUUUUCUUUACAUCAUUCCUUCUUUCUGGAUACCAGAAGGAAUGUCAGUUUUUUCCUAAGUUUCAACAAUCUCAUAUUCAAGUUAAUUCUGUUUUAACAUCCUUUUAACAUGAUUUUUAUUAUCUUCCUUAUUCUUUUUCUCUCUUUUUACAACUUCUUAGCUCAGGAUACAAUUUAUCUCCCUUUUCUCGUCUUUGCCAGUCUGCAAACCAGAAUUUUAAUUAAUAUGGAGGAGCAUCUGUUGUUGUUUAAAAUGUUAAGUUCCAAUAAAACCUGAAGCAUCUAUAGAAACAUGUUCUCUGCUCUCCUCUUCCCAUCCUCCUACUCGGUCUCUGCCUCACUCCUCACCGCAUUUAUCUCACACAUUUGGUAAUUUGGCCUCUUCUUCUCUCCUCUUCGGGAUCCAAUCAGUUCAUUUUCACACACUUCCUCUUUGCACUCCCCACCCACUCACACACACACACACGCACGCACACACACACCAACCUACUUGUAGGGAAUGUGUUUGCUGCCGUUGACCAGGGCCAGAAUCACGUUCCCGAGGGCGGACAGAGAAAGGCACAGAGGAGCCGAGCUUGGUGAAGAGUUUUCUCUGCUUUUCCCGCCGCCGCUGCCUCCUCCCAGUGCUUUAGCAUCACAGCUCCCCAGGUCCAGCAGGUGGAGUCGACUACGACCUCCUGACACUGAAAUGUGUGAAAAACGGGAUGAAACUGAAGUGGAGCUUUCAAAAAGAAAACAAAGAAUGAAUCCCUGCCCAAUCCAACAGGACCAUUUAGAGAGUUUGACGGUGAAGCUGUAGCUCUUAAGAUAUGCAACGUGAAGAGCAUGUGGGAGUUCCUGUGUUCUUCCUCUGUGGUGUUGGGUCGCUGGCUGCUGUGGCGAGCUGCGAUGGCUGCAUCCAGAAACCAGGCCGCCUUCUCUGGGGUCGGAGCACGGAGCUCCGAUUGGUUUUGGAGCUGGAAAACAUCCAGAUUUGAAAAAUAAAGCAUCAAUGGUGCAGAUAUGACAUAAUGGGAGAGGCUGUCAAGUCCUGGUUCUGUGGCUGACUGCUUCAGCCAGAUGCACAGGAACGUUGUGCUGCAGGCUAUAAAACACUGAAGAAGUUGUGUUCAAGAGGCUGUUACCCAGUUUGGAGUGUCCGAAGCAGAAGAUGCAGCCGUCCGCUCCGUUCACCACCGACUGGAUGACCUCAGCCACCGUUCCUGCACACACCUCCGCCUGGCAACAGGCGACCACGGAAAGACGAUGAGGAAAAACACAAAGCAAAGAUUAUAUACCGAGGAGGAAAUGCGGCGUCGAAGGUGAACAUCUUUGGAGGAGCGUGAUUGACUCCUGCUCUUUUCUGGGAGGCAGCAUUCGGUGUCUGGUUGGCAGACGGGUCCAUGAUGGUGAUCUGUUUCUUUCUGGGAUCCACUUUCAAGAAGGAACUGGACUCUGUAGCAUCAGACUGAGACGUUGGGGAAACUCUGACCAUCACCUUCACCUGAAAGCUGAUCAGAAACAGACUUUUAAAGCCGACGAACAGGGUGACCCACUUUCCUGAAGUGACCUGGACCAACCAAAACCAGAUCAUCUUCCAUCCACUUAUGAUUUGGGCGUGGAUCCGGCUGAGAAAUACACAGCUACACACCAGGAAAGCAGGGACAAAAGCCUCAAGGCGCCAUCUUGCUUUGCAUUAAUACAACCUGCCUCCAGAUAAAAUACCUGCAUGCUGCACACACUCCUUUAUCCAACUGCAUGUAAAACAGCGCUAGUCAAACGGACGAACCAACCUGAGAGGAGUCUGACUUUAAUUUAAGGUGAACUUCCACUCCCUGAGGCCGGCGAUCCUGUCCCAAAACCCGGAGAGCCUCCGAGAGAACCCGGUGAUCCAGUGCCAAUCCCUGGGGAAAUAGUUCCCGGAGAUCCAGAGAAGGAUCCUGGUGAUGAGAUCCCCGAGCCUGGGGAAGGGGUACCAGUGGAGCUGGGCAUGGACCCGGCUCCCUCUGGCGCUGGACGAGUGCCGGAGCGACUGGUUUCCUCGUAGGCCUUUCGGCACCAUGUGUCCGGGAAAAUGGAGGCCGAUUUUGUUGGGGAGGAGUCAGGCAUCUGUGAGAAUAUAUAGAUUGUUUCACUGUUAGGAAAGACAUGCUAUAUCUCAAAGGUGACCCAUUAUGGUCCCUCAAACAAGUUAGAAAAAGUCUGUGGGCUAAACAAAACAUGGUCAUUAGAUUUUUUGUGCAAAGUCAUUCUUAGACGAUGUGGUUUUAAUGUGUUCAAUCCUGAAUAUUUUGAACUCCUUUCAGAUGAAGCUGUUUUAGGGCCUUUUGUCACUUUAAAUCCAAAUAAGCUGCUCCUGGCCACGCCCCUCACCUCAACAUUUACACUCAAGCAGAUGUGACAAACAUACAUCUUUGAAAAGCAGAAGUGGAGCAUCAGGCACAACCACCAAGAAUGCAGCAAGGGGUUUCUGGAUGGUAAGGCAACAAAAAAACAUUUGUCUUUUCCAGCAGCCAUUGUACAGCACAGUGGUAAAAUCAGCUGACCAAACAUGCUGGAGCUCGGCUGGGGUUGCUAGGAAACGGCGCAGUGCCUGUUGAUUGUUUGGGACUCAUUUUCCAAACAGCAAAAAAACAUCAAAUUAUUGCCAGAAAAUGGCAGGUGUAGAGAUCAGGCUGUUUCCAGAAGCAGCUGAGACCCAAAUUGAAAUACAAAAAUGUGUGAAAAGUGAA